rnacentral:rRNA from 1 species
AUUGAACGCUGGCGGCAGGCCUAACACAUGCAAGUCGAGCGAGCGGCGGACGGGUGAGUAAUGUCUGGGAAACUGCCUGAUGGAGGGGGAUAACUACUGGAAACGGUAGCUAAUACCGCAUACUGUGAGAUGGACCUGCGUUGUAUUAGCUAGUUGGUGAGGUAAAGGCUCACCAAGGCGACGAUACAUAGCCGACCUGAGAGGGUGAUCGGCCACACUGGAACUGAGAAACGGUCCAGACUCCUACGGGAGGCAGCAGUGGGGAAGAUUGCACAAUGGGCGCAAGCCUGAUGCAGCCAUGCCGCGUGUAUGAAGAAGGCCUUAGGGUUGUAAAGUACUUUCAGCGGGGAGGCGUUACCCGCAGAAGAAGCACCGGCUAACUCCGUGCCAGCCGCCGCGGUAAUAC